rnacentral:rRNA from 1 species
UCAUCUGUUGCCAGCAUUUAAGGUGGGGACGUCAGAUGAGACUGCCGGUGACAAACCGGAGGAAGGUGGGGACGACGUCAAGUCAUCAUGGCCCUUAUGUCCUGGGCUACACACGUGCUACAAUGGCCGGUACAGAGUGAAGCGAAACCGCGAGGUGAAGCAAAACGCAGAAAGCCGGUCUCAGUACGGAUUGGAGUCUGAAACUCGACUUCAUGAAGUUGGAAUCGCUAGUAAUCGCGCAUCAGCAUGGCGCGGUGAAUACGUUCCCGGGCCUU